rnacentral:rRNA from 3 species
UCGGGAACUCAAAGGAGACUGCCAGUGAUAAACUGGAGGAAGGUGGGGAUGACGUCAAGUCAUCAUGGCCCUUACGACCAGGGCUACACACGUGCUACAAUGGCGCAUACAAAGAGAAGCGACCUCGCGAGAGCAAGCGGACCUCAUAAAGUGCGUCGUAGUCCGGAUUGGAGUCUGCAACUCGACUCCAUGAAGUCGGAAUCGCUAGUAAUCGUGGAUCAGAAUGCCACGGUGAAUACGUUCCCGGGCCUUGUACACACCGCCCGUCACACCAUGGGAGUGGGUUGCAAAAGAAGUAGGUAGCUUAACCUUCGGGAGGGCGCUUACCACUUUGUGAUUCAUGACUGGGGUGAAGUCGUAACAAGGUAACCGUAGGGGAACCUGCGGUUGGA